rnacentral:rRNA from 1 species
CAGAGCUAGGGAGUGGGAGAGGUAGACGGUACUCGGGAGGAAGUGGUAAAAUGCUUUGAUCUCUCGAUGACCACCUGUGGCGAAGGCGGUCUACCAGAACACGUCCGACGGUGAGGGAUGAAAGCUGGGGGAGCAAACCGGAUUAGAUACCCGGGUAGUCCCAGCUGUAAACUAUGCAAACUCAGUGAUGCAUUGGCUUGUGGCCAAUGCAGUGUUGCAGGGAAGCCGUUAAGUUUGCCGCCUGGGAAGUACGUACGCAAGUAUGAAGCUUAAAGGAAUUGGCGGGGGAGCACCACAAGGGGUGAAGCCUGCGGUUCAAUUGGAGUCAACGCCAGAAAUCUUACCCGGAGAGACAGCAGAAUGAAGGUCAAGCUGAAGACUUUACCAGACAAGCUGAGAGGUGGUGCAUGGCCGCCGCCAGCUCGUGCCGUGAGAUGUCCUGUUAAGUCAGGUAACGAGCGAGAUCCCUGCCUCUAGUUGCCACCAUUACUCUCAGGAGUAGUGGGGCGAAUUAGCGGGACCGCCGCAGUUAAUGCGGAGGAAGGAAGGGGCCACGACAGGUCAGUAU